UAGUUGAGUGGUAAAGCGCUUGGCUUCCGAACCGAGAGGUCCCGGGUUCGAAUCCUGG
rnacentral:tRNA from 1 species